UACGUAGGGGGCGAGCGUUGUCCGGAGUUACUGGGCGUAAAGGGCAUGCAGGCGGUCGGACGCGUUUUGUGUGACAGCGGGUGGCUCAACUACCCGAGCAUGCGAAAGACGGUUGGACUUGAGGGCUCGAGAGGGACACGGAAUUCCGGGUGGAGUGGUGAAAUGCGUAGAGAUCCGGAGGAACACCGAGAGCGAAGGCAGUGUCCUGGCGAGUGACUGACGCUGAGGUGCGAAAGCCAGGGGAGCGAACGGG
rnacentral:rRNA from 1 species